GAGCUGUUCUUGCCAUAAUAUGGAGUGAUUAAAGUAAACCAAAGUUUUGGAAAUACAUAAUGCCAUCUAACCAAAUAUCAAAGAAUGUUAGCUAUAUGCAGUUAGCCAACUAGCUAUGGUCAGCGAGCUGGAGCCAUACUAAUGGAGACCAGUUACAACCCAACUAACAAAACCCAACUUAAACAAAACUGCAGAUCAAAAGAGCAGAGACAAACAGAAUGGUGGCUGGGAAAAUCGCCAAUAUCCAAAAUAGAUAGAUUCCAGAUCAGUCAGCUAGUGCGCUAGCAGUAAGCCAAGGUGGAAAAAGUUGCAAAACUCCAAUAGUCUACUACACAGAGAACAUGCUGAAAAGUAGUGAUGGGGAAACAAAGCUUCUUAAAGUAUUGUCGCUUUCCAGCCUAUUGUGUCAAAAAUCUAUUAGGAUACAAAUGUGUGGAAAUGAUCUUCUCAGAAAUGAAUCAAGUCUAUGGAAUGGAUAUAGACAAAAAGAUAAUUCAAGGACUAGCAGAGGUAGAGAGGCGAGGCAGGGGUGAGGACAUCAUCCUGCUAUUUUGACAGUCCCUGAAGGACAAUACAGAAGAGGACUGGAGACCACAGCAGCGAUUCUGCUCUUGCCCUACCUCUUCAAUGAGGACCCGAGUGGCCUUUAUGUCCGUGACAAGAUUUCACCGCUUUUCACUCCUUUACUGCACAUYGGCGGAAAUCCAUUUCACCAUGAGAGUGAAAUCCCGCUGGCCUUUGAUAGGGAGAACAUCCACGCCCUUGAGGACGUCCCAAUGGGACUUGGGGCUCUGCUAAGGCUGGAUUUUUAUUUUCCAUUCAAUUUCCCAAAAAUGUCAGAAAAACACUUAUGUUGUUAAGUUACUGUGUUCUGGGGGAUAAGAGAAGUUGGGGUGGAGUUACCAGGGCCGGUCAUAAAGAUGGCAAACUUCCUAACAUAGCUAAGUGAAUAUGAUAUACACACUAAAGCUGAAAAAUCUGUAUUUAGCAUCAAGUCUACAAUGUUGUUAGUUUAACUAUGAUUCAUUUUUAAUGUAUGUUGUUUUUAUUGUACAUCAUUAUUUUAUA